AAUAUUUAUAUUUAAACAGAAUCAACAAAAUAACAUGUGCGGCUCUCAAAUAAAAAUUGUGCGUGUACACAUAUUUAUGGGCCCGUUACGGACAAUUAUCUAGUAAUAUAAAAUAUCAACUGAGAGGUCGACUAAUGUACCCAAAAAAUCCAUGUAACUUCCACUCAGAAUAUAGGCGAACAUAUUUAUCAUGCUAAGCACUUGUGCUGGUAUCAUUUCUAGCAAGAAAAAAAAAAUCAAAAUUUGUCAAUCGAGCAUUGUCCAUGUCGAUCUUUAGAUAUAAUCCAAACUUGCCAAUCGAGCAUUGCCCAUGUCCUUCAAAACUUGCCAAUCAAUUUGUUUUUUUCGUGCAGAUCAUGUACGCUCAAUGCACACCUGGAGUAAUGAACAAAGAUUUACAACCAAAUCCUGUCGGACAGAAGACAAACUCUUCUCUUUUCAUCGACAUCCUCACCUCCCCCAACAAUAGACAACAUCAGUUUACUGUCGCAAGAACUUUUUCUUUAUGAGGCAUUAUCAUAGUACUUGUUCUUUGUGACAAAAUAGCAGUACCAUCAGAUGAAACAGUUAUCGUCAGUAAACUUAUACAUGGAUUAAUAUGAAUACGAAGUUCAAACUUCCUCCAACCGAAACGGUGUGCUCAACUACAUCUGAUGUUGUGUUUUGAAAAGCAAUCAUGUAAUCCAUGGCCCUAUCCUUACUUAAAAGUAACCUUAGUUUUCUGACCAGUUUACCUCAAACUAUGCUUGUAUUUCUUAGAACUGGUCAUGUGAGACAUGCAUUCCAUUCUAUCAAAAAAAGUGCAAACACAAUGCCGCACUGUCCUCAAAACCCAUUUUGCUCAUCUGCAACCUCUAUGGUUGUGAUCAGCGGAUAAACAUUGUACAGAACUACAGAAGCACAAAUAGUCAAACAACUCUGAUUACUUCUGUCAUGGUCAUACAUAAAGUAUAUGGUUAGAGAACUGAAGUUGUACCUUGUUGCACCUUGAAGUACAGUUUGGAUCAUUUUCACUGGGUCAAUGAUACCAUCCUUCAUCAUAUGAAGCACUUUUGCAGCCACACGCGCUUGGAUGGUAUCUCCAGGCAAUUGGCCAGGGGCGCAGCAGGGUGAUGCCAGGAGGACGCUGGGAUUACGGCCGAAUAAUGAUGGUCAGCGACGGCAGAAUGAUGCGAGGAGGACGCCGGGAUUACGACCGAAGAAAAAAGUAUCACUGCACCACCGAGAAAAUUAGAAAAUUCUGAGAAAAAGGCCAUCAGACCGACAACAAAGUAGACCUAAACGUAUUUUGUUUAUAAAUAAUGGAGUUUGAGUAGCAUUAACAUAUAGUGCAGUACUUAAAUGUUCUGAAUUGUAGUUAAAUAAAUAUAGCAAACCUUUCCACUUAUAGUCAAGGUGAAAAUGUACGGAUACAAAUAGGUGAAUUCCCAGAAUGUUGUGCAGAAAUUUGCCUUUGGGAAGGCUAACAAUUUUUAUGUUGCUUCACUUUUAGCUUGUCUUGCGAUGACAGGUGGGCUGGUCGAGUUUGUAAUGGUCUUCCUAGAAUCCCAGUCAUCAAUAAAGUCUGAAUGUUCAUCCUGUCGUUUAAUUUGGUCGAUUGUUGAGGCAUGGAUAAAAAGUAUAACUGAAUAAUUAUACACAUCAUGAUUGUAUUCUCAUACGCUUAUGAGCUAACACAUGUACCUCUCACAAACAUCCAACUAUGGGUCAUCAUCAGGUUCAUGUUCCUGCAAAGGAAUAGGAAAAACAAUGAGAAAUUUAAGCCGAACAAGGAGAAGAUCAACAAAAGCUACAGAAAAUCAAAAACGGCUAGGUGCCAUGUCAAGAUCCUUAAUCAAAAGCAAACUAUAUUAGUUCAAUAAACGGCAAUAUGGAAAGCAUACUGAUUAGGAAGCAUUAAUUAAGCCAACAUAUGAUUUCUCCUUUCUGACUCCUUUAUCCUUUCACACUCAGCUCCCUGAGCUCCUCCUCUUUGUUACAUGUAUCUUGAAAAAAUAGUCAUCAUGCAAAUUUAUGUACAAGGUAAUUCCAUUUGCUUUAGGAAAAUUCUAGUAUAAGGAAACUUUUCAGUACAGGCAGAUUAGUUUUGGAAUCCACACCACAAACAAAAUCUAUUUCUUAAUAUAUAACUUACAAUCUACGUCAGAGAAAUUAUCAACAAACUAAAAGGACUUUAACCUGCAACAUCCCAUGUGCAUCCACGCUGCAGCGCCUUCCUCUAAGCCUUUGCUGCUGCAUGAGAUGAAAGAGAGUUAUUUAGAGGGUCGUACACACACCAGAAGUCCUGAAAGCAAAAACAUCUUUCCAUCCAGCAAUCCUUUCAAGGGAACAUGAGAAGCACAACAUCAGAUGCAGUCGAUUGAUACAUACAAUUUCUGAAUUAAUGUGAACACACAGCAGAACCUUACUGAAAUCUACAAUUUCAUAGAAACAUGUUAACCAAACACAACAAGGAGAUAAAAGGGAGGCGUCCGAUCUGGGUGCACCCAAAAGUUGCGGAAGGCGUCGGCGACCUCCGGUCAAGAACAGCGGGGCCGUGGCUUGGCACUGCGGUGGCGUUGCGCUAGUGCGGGCGUGUGGCGGCGGGGUUGUCGCUCGGUGAUGCGGCUGCAGGGCGCUCGCGC
rnacentral:lncRNA from 1 species